UUACGCGAAGACCUUACCUAGGCUUGACAUCCCACGAAUGACCUAGAAAUAGGAAAGGCUCUUCGGAGCGUGGAGACAGGUGCUGCAUGGCUGUCGUCAGCUCGUGCCGUGAGGUGUUCGGUUAAGUCCCGCAACGAGCGCAACCCUUGCCUUUAGUUGCCAGCAUUAAGUUGGGCACUCUAGAGGGACUGCCGAGGAUAACUCGGAGGAAGGUGGGGAUGACGUCAAAUCAUCAUGCCCCUUAUGCUUAGGGCUACACACGUGCUACAAUGGGUGGUACAGAGGGUUGCCAAGCCGCGAGGUGGAGCUAAUCCCUUAAAGCCAUUCUCAGUUCGGAUUGUAGGCUGAAACUCGCCUACAUGAAGCUGGAGUUACUAGUAAUCGCAGAUCAGAAUGCUGCGGUGAAUGCGUUCCCGGGUCUUGUACACACCG
rnacentral:rRNA from 1 species